AACGAACGCUGGCGGCAUGCCUAACACAUGCAAGUCGAACGAGACCUUCGGGUCUAGUGGCGCACGGGUGCGUAACGCGUGGGAACCUUCCCUUAGGUUCGGAAUAACUCCCCGAAAGGGGUGCUAAUACCGGUUAAUUUCUUCUGACCAAAGAUUUAUCGCCUUUGGAUGGUCCCGCGUUGGAUUAGCUCGUUGGUAGGGUAAAAGCAUACCAAGGCGACGAUCCAUAGCUGGUCUGAGAGGAUGAUCAGCCACACUGGGACUGAGACACGGCCCAGACUACGACGGGAGGAAGCAGUGGGGAAUAUUGGAAAAUGGGCGAAAGCAUGAUAAAGCAAUGCCGCGUGAGUGAUGAAGGCCUUAGGGUUGUAAAGCUCUUUUACCCGGGAUGAUAAUGACAGUACCGGGAGAAUAAGCUCCGGCUAACUACGUG
rnacentral:rRNA from 1 species